GAUGAACGCUAGCGGGAGGCUUAACACAUGCAAGUCGAGGGGCAGCAUAGGGUAGCAAUACUCUGAUGGCGACCGGCAAACGGGUGAGUAACGCGUAUGCAACCUACCCUGUACAGGGGGAUAACCCGGAGAAAUUCGGACUAAUAUCCCGUAAUAAUAUCCGGAGGCAUCUUUGGAUAUUUAAAGUUCCGACGGUACGGAUGGGCAUGCGUAACAUUAACUGGUUGGUAAGGUAACGGCUUACCAAGGCUAUGAUGUUUAGGGGUCCUGAGAGGGUGGUCCCCCACACUGGUACUGAGACACGGACCAGACUCCUACGGGAGGCAGCAGUGAGGAAUAUUGGUCAAUGGGCGCAAGCCUGAACCAGCCAUCCCGCGUGCAGGAAGACGGCCCUAUGGGUUGUAAACUGCUUUUCCAGGGAGAGAAACUUACGCACGUGUUGCGUGACUGACGGUACCCUGGGAAUAAGCAUCGGCUAACUCCGUG
rnacentral:rRNA from 1 species